rnacentral:rRNA from 1 species
UGGGGAAUAUUGGGCAAUGGGCGAAAGCCUGACCCAGCAACGCCGCGUGAAGGAUGAAGUAUUUCGGUAUGUAAACUUCGAAAGAAUAGGAAGAAUAAAUGACGGUACUAUUUAUAAGGUCCGGCUAACUACGUGCCAGCAGCCGCGGUAAUACGUAGGGACCAAGCGUUGUUCGGAUUUACUGGGCGUAAAGGGCGCGUAGGCGGCGUAAUAAGUCACUUGUGAAAUCUCCGGGCUUAACUCGGAGCGGCCAAGUGAUACUGUUAGGCUAGAGUGCAGAAAGGGCAAUCGGAAUUCUUGGUGUAGCGGUGAAAUGCGUAGAUAUCAAGAGGAACACCUGAGGCGAAGGCGGGUUGCUAGGCUGACACUGACGCUGAGCGCGAAAGCUAGGGUAGCAACGGGAUUAGAUACCCAAGUAGUCCCUGAGCGGGCUGGCAAGGCGCAU